CCCCCUCCCCGCUCUCUGACCGCCGGCGCUCGCUCCCUUGUAAUUCCGUGUUAGGCGGAUUUUUGGCUGGCGCAGGAUUCCCCCCACCCCAUCCCGGAUAACCCCGUGUCCCGCCUCCCCGCCGGCAGCACCCAGCCUGGGCGAUGCGGUUCGGAUCCAAGACUGACCCUGCUGAAAGCCCCUGAGAUACUGAACUCAGUAGGAGUGGAGACCACUUGACUGCACUCAGCACCUUUCAGGAUCAAGCCCUAGGAGAUGGUCAGAGGAGCAAAGGGAGCAUCACCAGAGAUUUGAAACAAACCCCAGGG